rfam:Acidobacteria bacterium 13_1_40CM_3_65_5 13_1_40cm_3_scaffold_7408, whole genome shotgun sequence.
GGGAGCGGAUUGGGUCUGGUGGCCUGACCAGUCUUCAAAACUGUUUGGCCCCCUAACGGGGCUCGGUAGGUUCGAUUCCUACACGCUCCC